rfam:Gossypium hirsutum cultivar TM-1 chromosome 8, whole genome shotgun sequence
AACCCAUGGUGAGGGCACCUUCUCAAUAAGUCAUUAUACCUUUCCCAUGCAUCGUAAAGAAUUUCUAAAUCUAUCUGCACAAAAGAAGAGAUAUCAUUACUCAACUU